rnacentral:sRNA from 1 species
AGCAGCCGCGGUAAUUCCAGCUCCAAUAGCGUAUAUUAAAGUUGUUGCAGUUAAAAAGCUCGUAGUUGAAUUUCGGGAUCAAUUGAUUGGUCAUGCCUACGGUAUGUACUAGUCAUAUUGGUUCUCACCUUCUAAUGAACCUUAAUGUCAUUCACUUGAUGUUUUGGGGAAUUAGGACUGUUACCUUGAAAAAAUUAGAGUGUUUAAAGCAGGCUUACGCUUGAAUACAUUAGCAUGGAAUAAUGAAAUAGGACAUCGCAUUCUAUUUUGUUGGUUUCUAGGAUCGAUGUAAUGAUUAAUAGGGAUAGUUGGGGGCAUUAGUAUUCAAUUGUCAGAGGUGAAAUUCUUGGAUUUAUUGAAGACUAACUACUGCGAAAGCAUUUGCCAAGGAUGUUUUCAUUAAUCAAGAACGAAAGUUAGGGGAUCGAAGACGAUCAGAUACCGUCGUAGUCUUAACCAUAAACUAUGCCGACUAGGGAUCGGAUGAUGUAAUUUUUAAAUGA